rnacentral:rRNA from 1 species
UACGUAGGGUGCGAGCGUUGUCCGGAAUUAUUGGGCGUAAAGGGCUCGUAGGCGGUUUGUCACGUCGGGAGUGAAAACUCAGGGCUCAACCCUGAGCGUGCUUCCGAUACGGGCAGACUAGAGGUAUGCAGGGGAGAACGGAAUUCCUGGUGUAGCGGUGAAAUGCGCAGAUAUCAGGAAGAACACCCGUGGCGAAGGCGGCUCUCUGGAACGCAACUGACGCUGAGACGCGAAAGCGUGGGGAGCAAACAGG